rnacentral:rRNA from 1 species
AGGGUUUAAAGUUGCGUGCGACAACAUCACCAAAACUUUAACUGAUUUGCAAAUGGUCAAAAAUAGAAAAAAUAAAGUGAUGGUAUUGGAAUGGAAAAGGUAGUCCUUCCGGAGGGUGUGUUGGGGGGCAGGUGACAUUCGGAGCGGGUGUGUUUCUCGCAUUUACUACGAUUUCCGCUUUCAAGGAUACUGGUGAUUCAUUCAAUUUUCGGAUCAUCGUAUGAUCGAUGCAUCAUUCAUUUUUCUGCCCUAUCACCUUUGGAUGGUAUGGUAUUGGCCUGCCAUGGCAUUAAGGGGUAUCGGAGAAUUACGGUUCCAUUCUGGAGACCCAGCCUGCCUUAUGGCUACCACAUCCAAGGAAGGCAACAGGCGCGUAAAUUACCCAAUCCUGACACAGGGAGGUAGUGACGAUAGAUAACAAUGUCGGGCUUUUCUAAGUCUGACAAUUGGAAUGAGAACAAUUUAAAUCCCUUAUCCAGGAUCAAUUGGAGGGCAAAUCUGGUGCCAGCAGCCGCGGUAAUUCCAGCUCCAAUACCGGAUACUAAACCUGGUGCAGUUAAAAAGCUCGUAGUUGACUUUCUGGUCUCGAGACCCGGCCAGCCUCAAGGUGCGAUGCUGUGGAUCGGGACCAUCCUCCAGGAGAACAUAUCUGUCUUUGAGUUGAUGGGUAUGGGACCCUCGUCUUUUACUGCGACCAAAAUACAGUGUUCAAAGCAGGCUUACGCCGAUGAAUACAUUAGCAUGAAAUAUAUGAUACGACCUUGUUCUAUUUUUGUUGGUUAUGACUCCGAGGUUAGGAUUAAUAUGCACAGUUGGGGGUAUUCGUAUUCACUUGUAAUAGGUGCUAUUGAUUGUAUUAUGGAAUACGAACAACUGCCCAAACAUUUACUAAGGAGGUAUUCAUUACUCAAAAACGAAAGUUAGCGGUAUCGAAAAUGAUCA